GAUGAACGCUGGCGGCGUGCCUAAUACAUGCAAGUCGAGCGAACGGACGAGAAGCUUGCUUUUCUGAUGUUAGCGGCGGACGGGUGAGUAACACGUGGAUAACCUACCUAUAAGACUGGGAUAACUUCGGGAAACCGGAGCUAAUACCGGAUAAUAUUUUGAACCGCAUGGUUCAAAAGUGAAAGACGGUCUUGCUGUCACUUAUAGAUGGAUCCGCGCUGCAUUAGCUAGUUGGUAAGGUAACGGCUUACCAAGGCAACGAUGCAUAGCCGACCUGAGAGGGUGAUCGGCCACACUGGAACUGAGACACGGUCCAGACUCCUACGGGAGGCAGCAGUAGGGAAUCUGCCGCAAUGGGCGAAAGCCUGACGGAGCAACGCCGCGUGAGUGAUGAAGGUCUUCGGAUCGUAAAACUCUGUUAUUGGGAAGAACAUAUGUGUAAGUAACUGUGCACAUCUUGACGGUACCUAAUCAGAAAGCCACGGCUAACUACGU
rnacentral:rRNA from 1 species